rnacentral:rRNA from 1 species
GUAGGGGGCAAGCGUUGUCCGGAUUUAUUGGGCGUAAAGCGCGUGUAGGCGGCUUGGCAAGUCCGCUGUGAAAACUCGAGGCUCAACCUCGAGCUGUCGGUGGAAACUGCCUGGCUAGAGUCCGGAAGAGGAGUGUGGAAUUCCUGGUGUAGCGGUGAAAUGCGCAGAUAUCAGGAAGAACACCUAUGGCGAAGGCAGCACUCUGGGACGGUACUGACGCUGAGACGCGAAAGCGUGGGGAGCGAACAGGAUUAGAUACCCUGGUAGUCCACGCCGUAAACGAUGGAUGCUAGGUGUGGGCGGUGUCGACUCCGUCCGUGCCGAAGCUAACGCAUUAAGCAUCCCGCCUGGGGAGUACGGCCGCAAGGCUA